CCUCUUCGGGGGUGGAUUAGUGGCGAACGGGUGAGUAACACGUGGGCAAUCUGCCCUGUACUUCGGGACAAGCCCUGGAAACGGGGUCUAAUACCGGAUGGGACUGCCGGCCGCAUGGUCUGGUGGUGGAAAGCUUCGGCGGUACAGGAUGAGCCCGCGGCCUAUCAGCUUGUUGGUGGGGUGAUGGCCUACCAAGGCGACGACGGGUAGCCGGCCUGAGAGGGCGACCGGCCACACUGGGACUGAGACACGGCCCAGACUCCUACGGGAGGCAGCAGUGGGGAAUAUUGCACAAUGGGCGGAAGCCUGAUGCAGCGACGCCGCGUGAGGGAUGACGGCCUUCGGGUUGUAAACCUCUUUCAGCAGGGAAGAAGCCUUUAAAGUGACGGUACCUGCAGAAGAAGCACCGGCUAACUACGUGCCAGCAGCCGCGGUAAUACGUAGGGUGCGAGCGUUGUCCGGAAUUAUUGGGCGUAAAGAGCUCGUAGGCGGCUUGUCGCGUCGGAUGU
rnacentral:rRNA from 1 species